rnacentral:tRNA from 1 species
AGGGCUUUAAGUUAAACAAACUAUUGGCCUUCAAAGCCAAAAUUAGGUCUCCCUAAGCCCUG